rnacentral:rRNA from 1 species
GACGAACGCUGGCGGCGCGCCUAACACAUGCAAGUCGAACGAGCGAGAGGAGGUUUACUUUCUCAAGCGAGUGGCGCACGGGUGAGUAACGCGUGAGGAACCUGCCUCAAAGAGGGGGACAACAGUUGGAAACGACUGCUAAUACCGCAUAAGCCCACGACCCGGCAUCGGGUAGAGGGAAAAGGAGCAAUCCGCUUUGAGAUGGCCUCGCGUCCGAUUAGCUAGUUGGUGAGGUAAUGGCCCACCAAGGCGACGAUCGGUAGCCGGACUGAGAGGUUGAACGGCCACAUUGGGACUGAGACACGGCCCAGACUCCUACGGGAGGCAGCAGUGGGGAAUAUUGCACAAUGGGGGAAACCCUGAUGCAGCGACGCCGCGUGGAGGAAGAAGGUCUUCGGAUUGUAAACUCCUGUUGUUGAGGAAGAUAAUGACGGUACUCAACAAGAAAGUGACGGCUAACUACGUG